CUGAACCUUCGGGGAACGAUAACGGCGUCGAGCGGCGGACGGGUGAGUAAUGCCUGGGAAAUUGCCCUGAUGUGGGGGAUAACCAUUGGAAACGAUGGCUAAUACCGCAUAAUAGCUUCGGCUCAAAGAGGGGGACCUUCGGGCCUCUCGCGUCAGGAUAUGCCCAGGUGGGAUUAGCUAGUUGGUGAGGUAAUGGCUCACCAAGGCGACGAUCCCUAGCUGGUCUGAGAGGAUGAUCAGCCACACUGGAACUGAGACACGGUCCAGACUCCUACGGGAGGCAGCAGUGGGGAAUAUUGCACAAUGGGCGCAAGCCUGAUGCAGCCAUGCCGCGUGUAUGAAGAAGGCCUUCGGGUUGUAAAGUACUUUCAGCAGUGAGGAAGG
rnacentral:rRNA from 1 species